GAGAAUCAUAGCCGAAGUAACGCUUGGACCUUUAAAUUAGGUCUAUUUUUCUGGGAAUUGCCGAUAGUGACGUGUCUUGAUUUUACGAAUACAGACAAUUGUAAAGUGGGUUUAUUUGCGGACAGUCUUAGUCAUUCAAAUAGCAUUGGUGGUUCAGUGGUAGAAUUCUUGCCUGCCACGCGGGAGGCUCGGGUUUGGUUCCCAGCCAAUGCGCUUACUAAAAUCAGAGUUUUUGAUUGUAAUUAAACUAUUGUAUGUUUUGCCUCGAAAGACACAGUCGCUAGUGUUUGGUGAAGAUAUAAACGGAACGUUUUAAAUAGUUUGUUUGGUUCAAAUUGAAAGACUAAUUCAUUCAACUUAAAAUAAUAGCGAAGCGAAUUUUGAUGCAAGACGAUGUCUGUUGCCUAAAGGAUCUGCUGGAAUAAUGUAUUGAGAAUUGAGUCGUAUUUAAAUUACUGUAUCAAUAGAGGAGACAGUUACCUAAAUUAAAGAAAUUGUAAAUAGUAGCGGAGAGAUAAUGGCGAUAGAGUGGUGCCCACCGAAAUGUUUUUCAUUCUUAUAGAUUGACUGGCACGUGAUAAUUUUGGCGCUGUGUGUGUUAUUUUUAAAGUCUUGGACAUCCCAUAAGUGUGAAGAGGAAAGAGAAGAGAAAGUUGUAAAGUUUGGUUUUAAUCUUACGAUAGAGGGUAUUCCAGACAUGGGAAGCUCUCACACUGAAAGCAGAUUGACUUAAGGAUUCCUUCUUCCGGGACAGAUGGAAGUUAUCUAAAAUAUGGGAUAUAGGUCUAACUUCCUGAUCCUUGGCUCUACGAUGGAGUUGACAGUGUGAUGGGGAGUAUAAGCCAAUUUGAAAGAAUAGUUUCAAUAGAAUGUGUGGAUAUUCUCUUUGAAAUAUGUUUAGAUAUGUGUAUUAAGAAUAAUUGGUAAAAGUAAUAAUUUAUCAUGUAGUUAAUGAACUGAACUAAACUGUUGUUCUUUCGAGGUUAUCAUGAAAAGUGACAUCAGACGGUAUCUUAAUGCAUGGAAGAGAUAUUUGGACCGAAGAGGGGGUUUUGAGGAGUGUGAGAGGAGUCCACGUAGAGUGAGCAUGGAGAGAGAUCUGUUCUAAACUUUUCUUAUGUUGCGGGAAUACUGGUUGAUGAAUGGACAAGACAUAAUGAGUGGUAAAGAUGAGACAUUGAAAUUGAAACAUUAUCAUGGGCCAUCCACUUUGAACUGUAAAGUUAUCUGAAGAAGAAGGAAAAGGACGCCAGAAGAAUCAGUGCCUGAGGGAGUGGGUUGGUCAACUGUGCCAAUAAAAUUGUUUUAGACUUUUGUGGUAUCAGGUUGAUUGUAGAGGUUUACGCCAUGUAAAAUUAUAGUCAUUUAGAUUAAGAAUGCACUGAGAUACUGAUCUGUAUUAUAAUUGUGAUUUAAAAAGUUAAUAGUAGAAUUAUGGGAUAAUUAUUGAAUGUUAAUAUGAAUGUAAUUCUGCUAAAAUUGAUGUGUGUUAAAUUGAGUUUUUUACUUUGAGUGAUAAGACCAAUUUGAAUCACUGAGGAAUGUCAUUCUAAAUUUUGGUUGGAUAAAUAGUUGGGUUGUUAAUUAUGAUUUGGAAUAUGAAUGAUUUCCCUGACCUAUUCCUGACCACAUCUCUGAGCAUGAGGGAUGACUGUCCUAUAUGUUGUGAUGAGGCCUGUGUUUAGACACUGGUUCUCAUGUAACUUAGGAAGCAUUUUUAUGUUUUUGUUUUUAUUUUUCUCAACAAUGGAAUAGUCUGUGUGAUUAAACCUGUGCAAGUUUGUCUUGUAGAAUAAAGGUUGUAAACUUAGUUUCAGAAGGGAGAAAGCUUAUAUAUAAGCUAGGGAUUUUGACAUUGAAGGGAUUUUAUUUGUUAUUUUAUUUUAAAUAUUGAGUAUGUAGUUAGUAAUGUUCUGAUUCUCCAAAAGGGACAAUGUCCCUUGAGAGGGUAAUGUCGUGGCUGAAUCAGAAUUAGUUAGCUAACAUUGAUAAAUAAGAUGUUUUAUUUACCUAAUAAUGCUUAUGUGAGAUUAGUCAUUAGGAUGUUUUCUUUUGGAUAAUACUGUUGGCAGCUGCAUUUUCCCCUCUUCUCCAGGGCUUAGUCAUUAGGGGCCCAGAGAGGGGAGAGGUCAGGCUUGUCUUCAUAUGUCAAUAUAGCUGUUAAACCAUGUGAUGCUAUGAAGAAUAUCAGAAGGGGAGGAGGACAGAAUGGAGGCUUGUCAUCUUAUGGGAAUGUGUCUGUAACUAUUGUAUGUCCCCUCUGAGGUUGCCCUUAUCUUGAUUUAGUAUAUCACCUAAGAGGCUCACUGUCUUUUCUGAUCUUGUCCAGGAGGGGUUGUAUUUGAGAUGGAAGUAUCUAGAAUUUACCAUUGAUAUAUGUCAUUGGAUGAGGUAAUGGUUUGGUACUAUGUUGUACCAAGAACGAGAUUAGAACUUCGUUUAAGAGACCAAACUGAACGAUAAUUUAUAGUUAAUGCUGUCUGGCUAUGGGAUACUCCUCAAGUAAAGUCUUCCUUUGUAAUGUUCCUAAGAUCUGUUAUUUGUCAUGGGAGUUGAGAGGGGUGUGUCUUGGCUAUAAAUGAUACUAAGAAUUGUUUUGUAAGCACUCUCAGAGAAAUCAUUUAUAGACACUGAAUUGAUCUGAGAGUCACAGGGCUAUGGUGAAGCUCAUAUAUAAUUAAAGAUGGACUUUAUAAUAUACUCUAACUUGUGUGUGGUUUGCUCUCUCAAUGUUUAGUAAUACAGGAAAUUACCACGACAAUAUCGCAAAAAAAAACGCAUAAUAGCACAAUUGGUUAGGAGACCGUAAAACGGUGGCCAUCUCCUCCAGCGCCAUUACCCCAUGGGGAGGGGGGUCACACUCAGACAUUCAGAGAGGAGGCAUAUUAUUGUGGCCCUGGUGGCACAAAAUCAUCUGUCUGACUGCACGGACAUGCUUGGGAAUAUGGUCACAAUGGGGGUCCAGCGUGUGUGUUUCAGGGGAAGGAGGUAUAUCUGAUCUCCAUCAUCCUGGACAUGACAAAUUUGCCCAUUUUUGCAGGCCUUCUCAUACAGCUGCAACUGGAUAUGCAUUUGUAAAUAAAGACCUUUCUUGAGUUGGG
ensembl:lncRNA